GACGAACGCUGGCGGCGUGCUUAACACAUGCAAGUCGAACGAAGUGGCGGACGGGUGAGUAACGACUGAUAAACCUGCCCUUCAGAGGGGGAUAACAGUUGGAACCGACUGCUAAUACCGCAUACUGAAGGAGGGGAAUGAGUCUGAUUAGCUAGUUGGAGGGGUAACGGCCCACCAAGGCGAUGCUCAGUAGCCGGUUUGAGAGGCUGAACGGCCACAUUUGGACUGAGACACGGCCCAGACUCCUACGGGAGGCAGCAGUGGGGAAUCUUCCGAAAUGGAGGAAAGGCUGGCGGAGCAACUCCGCGUGAUGGAUGACGGCCCUCGGGUUGUAAAGCUAUGUUAAUCGGGACGCGGUACCGGAAGAGAAAGCCACGGCUAACUACGUGCCAGCAGCCGCGGUAAUUC
rnacentral:rRNA from 1 species